rnacentral:miRNA from 1 species
CAAUGUGACAUCCCUUUACCAUUCAUGUUCACUGAAAGGUAGAUUUUAAAACCUGAAUGGUAAAGGGAUGUCACAUUG